GCUGGGCAUAAUGGCCCAUGCCUGUAGUCCUAGCUACUUGGGAGGCUGAGGUGGGAGGAUUGCUUGAGCCCAGGAGUUUGAGGCUGCAGUGGACUAUGAUCAUGCCACUGCAUUCCAGCCUGGGUGACAGAGUGAGACCCUGACUCUU
rnacentral:SRP_RNA from 1 species